rnacentral:rRNA from 1 species
GACGAACGCUGGCGGCGUGCUUAACACAUGCAAGUCGAACGGUGAAGCGCCUUCCUUUUUGGUGGGUGUGGAUGAGUGGCGAACGGGUGAGUAACACGUGAGUAACCUGCCCCUUUCUUCUGGAUAACCGCAUGAAAGUGUGGCUAAUACGGGAUAUUCUGGGUCUCUCGCAUGAUGGGUCUGGGAAAGAUAUUGUUUCGGUGGGGGAUGGGCUCGCGGCCUAUCAGCUUGUUGGUGGGGUGAUGGCCUACCAAGGCGGUGACGGGUAGCCGGCCUGAGAGGGUGGACGGUCACACUGGGAAUGAGACACGGCGCAGACUCCGACGGGAGGCAGCAGUGGGGAAUAUUGCACAAUGGGCGCAAGCCUGAUGCAGCGACGCCGCGUGAGGGAUGGAGGCCUUCGGGUUGUGAACCUCUUUCGCCAGUGAAGCAGGCCUGCCUCGUUUGUGGGUGGGUUGACGGUAGCUGGAUAAGAAGCGCCGGCUAACUACGUG